rnacentral:rRNA from 1 species
CCUACGGGUGGCUGCAGUGGGGAAUAUUGGACAAUGGGCGAAAGCCUGAUCCAGCCAUGCCGCGUGUGUGAAGAAGGCCUUCGGGUUGUAAAGCACUUUCAGUGGGGAAGAAAGCCUUGGGGCUAAUACCCUCGAGGAAGGACAUCACCCACAGAAGAAGCACCGGCUAACUCCGUGCCAGCAGCCGCGGUAAUACGGAGGGUGCGAGCGUUAAUCGGAAUUACUGGGCGUAAAGCGCGCGUAGGCGGUCUGAUAAGCCGGUUGUGAAAGCCCCGGGCUCAACCUGGGAACGGCAUCCGGAACUGGCAGGCUAGAGUGCAGGAGAGGAAGGUAGAAUUCCCGGUGUAGCGGUGAAAUGCGUAGAGAUCGGGAGGAAUACCAGUGGCGAAGGCGGCCUUCUGGACUGACACUGACGCUGAGGUGCGAAAGCGUGGGUAGCAAACAGGAUUAGAUUACCCUGGUAGUC